rnacentral:lncRNA from 12 species
AUCCCAGGUACAGUCAAUGGAGCACAGAGUCACAGCACUUCUGUGAGCCUGGGCAGGGGAGCCUGGGACUGAGGGAGGCUGAGACUGUGAUCCUGCCAUCUGUGGGCAGGAUCUCUCUAGUCUGACUGCUCUAGGAACUACCUACACACUUUGUUAUUUAGUCAGUCCCUUCCCGUGGUGCCAUUCUCAACAUCAGCUAACUGCCAUCCCACACUGGUAGAAGAGGAGAUAGAAUUUGUUGAGGACUUCAAGACCUGAGUAGUCACCAGGGUCUUUUAUGUGACAAGCAGAACAAAUACAGAAACAAUCUCCGGACAUGUUUCGCAGAUGUUUUUCUUUCUUCGGUCUGUGUCUUUUCCUUCCAACCCAAAGGAGCUCUCUGGGCCAUGGAUCCAGCCUGCAUGGCAGGGGCACAACAUCCCUCCCUGGAUUUGAGAACCUCACCACGGGGUACAACAAAUACCUCCGGCCCUACUUUGGUGGUAUGUUGGCUCCACACGAGGGAGCAUCUAAAAUCAGUCUGUAAGGCUCGUGGUGCGAAGAGCAGGCUUUAAGCUUGCUUUAGGAUGCUGCAGUUUCAAAGGUUGUGUUUCUUUGACAUUAGUUGGUGUGCCA